AGUGGAAUAAUUGGGUCAAAUGGUGGUUCCAUCCCAUGUUUUCUAAGGACUAUCCAUACUGCUUUCCAAAGUGGUUGCACCAAUUUUCAAUCCUACCAGCAAU
rnacentral:pre_miRNA from 1 species